rnacentral:misc_RNA from 1 species
AAGGAUCAUUAACACAAACUGUGGCUGCGAAUGUGCACGUCGCCCUCUUCACUGAGGGACCCACGAUUGCUGCUGUCGCGUCACACUUGGAUCCACAUCCAUUUACCCCUGUGAACUGUUAAAGUCUUUACAUAACGUGUCAACUCACGCCUUGUAAUGCACUCUGACUGAAAUCUAUUUCUUGACGCUGUAAGACCUUGCAAAAGUCUUUAACGCCGACGGAAAAAAACAUAACCAAAGACAACUUUUAACAACGGAUAUCUUGGUUCUC